rnacentral:rRNA from 1 species
UACGUAGGGGGCUAGCGUUGUCCGGAAUCAUUGGGCGUAAAGAGCAUGUAGGCGGUCCGGUAAGUCCGCUGUGAAAGUCGGGGGCUCAACCCUCGAAUGCCGGUGGAUACUGUCGGGCUUGAGUACGGAAGAGGCGAGUGGAAUUCCUGGUGUAGCGGUGAAAUGCGCAGAUAUCAGGAGGAACACCAAUUGCGAAGGCAGCUCGCUGGGACGUUACUGACGCUGAGACGCGAAAGCGUGGGGAGCAAACAGG